rnacentral:tRNA from 1 species
GGCUGUGGCUCAGUGGUAGAGCGCUUGCCUAGCAUGAGUGAGGCACUGGGUUCAAUCCCCCACACCA